rnacentral:lncRNA from 1 species
GAAUUACUAAGUAUCAAUAGAGAGAUAUUGAUUUUAGUGGGAGUAGAUUCUGUUAAAAUAGUUUAAUGUGAUUUUCUCUAUCAUGGAUACGUUUGUCUUAGUGUAUUUUGCAUUACUUUUGUUGUAGAUUAAAUGGCACCUAGCAGCACUACACCGUUUGCUUUGCGUUCGGUCCUUGAGAAGGACAAGUUGAAUGGAACAAACUACUCAGAUUGGAUCCGUAACCUGAGAAUUGUUCUCAGGGCUGAGAAAAAGGAAGAUAUUCUAGACAACCCACUACCAGAAGAACCUGCUGAUGAUGCACCUGCUGCU